UCAAACAGUUUUGUGUCGUGUUGUUGUCAUAGCAAUACCCUCCGGACGAGAGGGGCCGACUGGCGUCUGACAGUCCGGAGGAGUACGACCACGCCAAGAGAGUCGCUGCCAGUCCAGCUGCCAGACGUCCACUGGGAACCUUGAGCAAGUCUGAGUGGGAGGCUACAAGCAUAUACCUGGUGUAUGUGUUUGAGAAAAUGUCAUGAGUGAGGGAUUCUCCAUCGAGCUGUUGUAUCCAGAUGAGUGAGCCAAAGAUUCGUCUGGUGCGAAAACCGGAGCUUUUCCUUCACGAGUGUGUAUGUGUGCACAUGAUCAAUAUUCUGUCUGAUACUGUAUUUCUGUUUAUCUGUCAUGGUUCACCCGCUACCCCUUCUCUUCAAGUCUAGCAAUCUAAUAACCCUGUAGAGCUUACAGUCAUAUGCUCCCUUUGGGUUUGACCUCGAUAGUAAUCCACCCCUCCCUUCAGGCUUGGAUGUUCUUUUCUGUGUUCAUCUGUGAAGGGUUGAUUGGUAUCAUGUUUAAUGUGUGACCAGGCUGCUUUUUGAGGGAGGAAGUUCUUCCUACAAUAAGAAAUGCAGAACUUUAAUGCAUUCAAGUUGACAAAUUCAUAAAUUCUCUUUUUCAAGUUUUCUUUUUUCUUUUUGUACUUGUAAUGAUGGUAUAGUGUGUUUUCUUUCCUAAUGUUGUCUUUGAACGUCAGAUUUCAGUCUGUACUCUUCUGAUUUCUGUAUGUAGAGCAGUGUUGCUGGUCCUGCAGUUUGUCAGGGAAUUAAAACCUUUAGUUAUAGGAAUAUUAAACCUAGAGUGUACUGUAUCAGUUUAAUG